UCUCACAUCCAGGUAACACUGAUGCAAGA
rnacentral:piRNA from 1 species